UAUUAACACAAGUCAACUUUAUUUCAAUUCUUUUGACAAUGUAGAGUUUCAGAGUAUCUGGAAAGCCAACAUAAUGUGGAGAGCAGGGGAUUAGAAGUGAAAAUUGAUACACUGAGUGAAAUAUUUUAAAAUCUAGACUCACGUGUAUAAAGUCAAAUACACUUUCUCUUCAUAACAAGAAUGAGUUUCUGUAUUGGCCUCCUAUUCCCUGCAAAGUUAGAAGUUAAAUCUAGGUUAUUUCCAGGUAAACUCAGUUACUUCUGGGUAAAAUUAAUCAUUUCAAGCUUAACUUGAUCAAUUCAAGAUAUCAUACCACUAUCACCCUUCUUGUUAGGGUUCUAGCUAAGGUUUCUCAGGCAUUUGGGGACAUGGUGCCUGCCCUGGCCUCCAUCCACUGCCUUCUUUCCACCUGGUCAUUGCCCAUUGGCCUCUAUCCCUAUCAAAUCAUCCACUGCUUCCACGGUCCUCAUGUUGGCCUCCAAGCAUCAAGGCAGAGGGAUCACCCACAACCUUCCAAUCUCAACUACAAGCUCCUUUGGGUUCUCUGACUCCCUUAUUCUCAAUCUCUCCCUCCAUCCGCCUCUUUGCUAUUUCCAAAUAAAUUAUCUAUAGACCAGGAGUUUUGGACACUGUCCUGUGCUACUCUCUAGUCUCUAAUGAAGACAAGCUACCCUGCCCUUUUGUACUUUUGCUGGUGCUGUACCUUGCAGACACAGGGAACUUCUCUACAGGGCCUCAUCCUGGGAAACAGCAAGAAUGGAAAGUGACAUAGGGAUGUCCCUGCUCCUCUCACCCCACCUCCAAGGCUCAGCCCACUGCAAAAAAGACAGGAAACUAGGUAUCUCUCCAUGAACCCACUGGAAUAUAAACCCUGGAACAUUUCCUCUGGUUCAUCCCUGUCCCUGACUUAGGCCAUAUUUAGCUAGUUUACAGAAGAGGGUACUUUUAUUCUUCAUCUACACUGCCAUGUUUUAUUGAUUCUAAGAUGUAGUACAUUUCUUUAGACAUAGAUGUCUUUUAAAAUUGGGAGGUACCUUACAAUUGGUGACCUCUUAUAUGUUAUGAAUGGAGUGUCUGUGUACCCACCAAAUUCAUAUGUUGAAGCCCUAACCUCCAAUGUGAUGCUAUUAGGAGCAGUGGCCUUUAAGAAGUAAGUAGGUUUAAGUGAGUCAUGAGGGUGUGGUCCCCAUGAUGGGACUGGAGCCCUUAUAACAAGAGGAAGAGCACUUGGUGGGGGCCUACGCAGGCGGAUCAUUUGAGGUCAGGACUUCGAGACCAGCCUCACCCACGUGGUGAAACCUCAUUUCUGCUAA
rnacentral:lncRNA from 1 species